GGGAAACAGGGGCAGGGGCCAGCUCCAGGCCCCAAAACAAGCUUGUGGGGCA
rfam:Rattus norvegicus chromosome 1, whole genome shotgun sequence.